UCUAUGGGGCUCUGUGGGUCUCUAUGGGGCUCUGUGGGGUUUCUAUGGGGCUCUGUGGGGUUUCUAUGGGGUCUCUAUGGGUUUCUAUGGGGCUCUGUGGGUCUCUAUGGGGCUCUGUGGGGCUCUGUGGGGUUUCUAUGGGGCUCUGUGGGAUUUCUAUGGGGUCUCUAUGGGUUUCUAUGGGGCUCUAUGGGGUCUCUAUGGGUUUCUGUGGGUCUCUAUGGGGCUCUGUGGGGCUCUGUGGGGUUUCUAUGGGGUCUCUAUGGGUUUCUAUGGGGCUCUAUGGGUUUCUAUGGGGCUCUAUGGGUUCUCUAUGGGUUUCUGUGGGGCUCUGUGGGUCUCUAUGGGGCUCUGUGGGGCUCUGUGGGGUUUCUAUGGGGCUCUGUGGGGUCUCUAUGGGGUCUCUAUGGGUUUUUAUGGGGCUCUGUGGGGUUUCUAUGGGGUCUCUAUGGGUUUCUAUGGGGCUCUAUGGGUUUCUAUGGGGCUCUAUGGGGUCUCUAUGGGUUUCUGUGGGACUCCGUGGGGUUCUAUGGGGCUCUGUGGGGCUCUGUGGGGUUUCUAUGGGGCUCUGUGGGUCUCUAUGGGGCUCUGUGGGGCUCUAUGGGUUUCUAUGGGGCUCUGUGGGGUCUCUAUGGGUUUCUAUGGGGCUCUGUGGGUUUCUAUGGGGCUCUGUGGGGCUCUGUGGGGCUCUAUGGGGCUCUGUGGGUCUCUAUGGGGCUCUGUGGGGCUCUAUGGGUUUCUAUGGGGCUCUGUGGGGUCUCUCUGGGUUUCUAUGGGGCUCUGUGGGUUUCUAUGGGGCUCUAUGGGGCUCUGUGGGGUUUCUGUGGGGCUCUGUGGGGCUCUAUGGGGCUCUGUGGGGCUCUAUGGGGCACUAUGGGGCUCUAUGGGUUCUCUGUAGGUCUCUAUGGGGUGCUAUGGGGCGCUGUGGGUCUCUAUGGGGCGCUAUGGGGCUCUGUGGGGUGCUGUGAGGUUUCUAUGGGGCACUAUGGGGCUCUAUGGGUCUCUAUGGGUCUUUAUGGGUCUCUGUGGGGCGCUAUGGGUCUCUAUGGGGCGCUGUGGGUCUCUAUGGAUUUCUAUGGGUCUCUAUGGGGCUCUAUGGGUCUCUAUGGGGCGCUAUGGGGCGCUAUGGGUCUCUAUGGGUCUCUAUGGGGCUCUAUGGGGCUCUAUGGGGUCUCUAUGGGGCUCUAUGGGGCUCUAUGGGGCGCUAUGGGGCUCUAUGGGGCUCUAUGGGUCUCUAUGGGGCGCUAUGGGGCGCUAUGGGGCUCUAUGGGGCGCUCUGAGGUUUCUGUGGGGUGUCUGUGGGGCUCUGUGGGGCACUAUCCUGAUUCUUACUGGUUUUCACUGGUCUGUUCUGGCUCUUAUUCGUUCAUACUGGUCCGUACUGGUCCUUACUGGUACCUACUGGUCCUUACUGGUCUAUACUGGUCCGUAGUGGUUCAUACUGGUCCUUACUGGCCCGUACUGGUACCUACUGGUCCGUACUGGUCUGUACUGGUCCAUACUGGUCUGUACUGGUCCGUACUGGUCCGUACUGGUCCGUACUGGUCCGUACUGGUCCGUAGUGGUCCGUAGUGGUCCAUACUGGUCUGUACUGGUCUGUACUGGUCUGUACUGGUCCAUACUGGUCCAUACUGGUCCUUACUGGUCUGUACUGGUCCGUACUGGUCUGUACUGGUCUGUACUGGUCCGUACUGGUCCGUAGUGGUCCGUACUGGUCCAUACUGGUCUGUACUGGUCUGUACUGGUCUGUACUGGUCCCUACUGGUCCGUACUGGUCCUUACUGGUCUGUACUGGUCCGUACUGGUCUGUACUGGUCUGUACUGGUCCGUACUGGUCCGUACUGGUCCGUAGUGGUCUGUACUGGUCCGUACUGGUCC
ensembl:lncRNA